rnacentral:ncRNA from 1 species
CAGACAUAUUGUGGAAGUUUUCAGUAUCAACCUCACCUUGAAGGAACCAGUGUGUGCUUUCCAUGUCCAACAGGACUGGGUAACCUCUUGAAUCUCCUUCAUGCUGAGGAUAGGGCCUUGUAAAUGUUCCCCUUGAAUGAGGAAUUCCCGGUAAGCAUGAGUCAUAAGCUCAUGUUGAUUACGUCCCUG